CAGAUAAUGACGGUGCUUCU
rnacentral:piRNA from 1 species